UGAGUUGUGGCUCAAUGGUAGAGCACUUGCCUGGCAUGCAUGAGGCCCUGGGUUCAAUCCUCAGCACCGCAU
rnacentral:tRNA from 1 species